rnacentral:misc_RNA from 1 species
UUCAACUGGACAUGAGAAAUCCAAGGCUUGUCAAAAUGAUCCUUCAGAGGUGCAACAUUCAAUGCUGCUAAAGCUUCCUCAUAGUACAGCCCAACCUGCCGAGCAAUCUUCGCACAAACCCCUGGGGUAUUCCCUUUGGCAAUGGUAUUCUCGAACACACACUCCUGCGCUUGAGCCAGCAUCAGCCUCUCCAACAUCCCCGCGCACUCUACCGACACAUCCACGGUGGUACUCGACCCCAUCGAAGCCUUGGUCGCCGCAUUAUCUCUCAGAUAAGCAAACGCUCCUGCAGCACCAAUAAACGCAUGAAUAGCCUGCCGUCUCCCUUCUACAGUGGCCCGAUCAAACGAAAGCCCAAUCUGACUAUACACGGCACCCAAAUUGAACAGCACCGCGGCCUUCUCCAAAUGGAUAUUCUGCUG